rnacentral:rRNA from 1 species
AUUGAACGCUGGCGGCAGGCUUAACACAUGCAAGUCGAACGAUGAAACUCUAGCUUGCUAGAGAUGAUUAGUGGCGGACGGGUGAGUAACAUUUAGGAAUCUGCCUAGUAGUGGGGGAUAGCUCGGGGAAACUCGAAUUAAUACCGCAUACGACCUACGGGUGAAAGGGGGCGCAAGCUCUUGCUAUUAGAUGAGCCUAAAUCAGAUUAGCUAGUUGGUGGGGUAAAGGCCUACCAAGGCGACGAUCUGUAACUGGUCUGAGAGGAUGAUCAGUCACACCGGAACUGAGACACGGUCCGGACUCCUACGGGAGGCAGCAGUGGGGAAUAUUGGACGAUGGGGGCAACCCUGAUCCAGCCAUGCCGCGUGUGUGAAGAAGGCCUUUUGGUUGUAAAGCACUUUAAGCAGGCAGGAGAGGCUAAUGGUUAAUACCCAUUAGAUUAGACGUUACCUGCAGAAUAAGCACCGGCUAACUCUGUGCCAGCAGCCGCGGUAAUACAGAGGGUGCGAGCGUUAAUCGGAUAUUACUGGCCGUCGAUUUAGAGUAGGUGGCUCAUUAAGUCACAUGUGAAAUCCCCGGGCUUACCCUGGGAACUGCAUGUGAUACUGGUGGUGCUAGAAUAUGUGAGAGGGAAGUAGAAUUCCAGGUGUAGCGGUGAAAUGCGUAGAGAUCUGGAGGAAUACCGAUGGCGAAGGCAGCUUCCUGGCAUAAUAUUGACACUGAGAUUC